GACAUGGUGACCCAGUUUUCCAAGCAAAGGACAGCCUGUGAAGGUUCCGCAUUCUCAUCAGCUGCUCUUUUUGAGAUCCUGGAUUGAGACUUGCCAUGGUGAAGAAGACAAGAGUUAAAAAAUUGGAAGUGACUCUUAAUGAGGUGCAGUAGCAGCUGACCCAACUUUGUUAUACCUCCUGGUUUCUCACAUUGUCAAUUUGAUUGGAGAUUGGUGAAUCUCAUGAAGAGAUGGAGACCUUGCAGUCCACAUUUCUGUGCUCCAGAUGGGGAAAGCAUUAAAAGAGCCUAAAAAUAAACCCAAGCAGAAGUGUGCAGCUGAUCCUUAGACCAGAAAAAAGGCUUGCCCCUUUCCGUGAUCAAGCCUCUGAAAAUGUCAUAAAGCAGAUACUUUGCCACAUGCCAGAAUGCUUUAAAUGGUAGUGAGCAGACUUGAUAUGGAUCACCAUCUUGGUACAGGAAUCAUCUUCCAGGGAAUAUAAUUGGAUGGAGAAAGUACAAUCCAGCCUUUUUUGCAAUUAUGUGGUAGAAAAACCAGAAAUAAAUGCAUUAACUCCUUCAUAAUUUGAGUUUGCCAUCAAACUACACAGGCCUCCAAAAAUGUGCUGUCAGAUC